AAAGCAUCCUCAAGCAUUGUUGCUUGGUCAUGGAGGAAGAUAGUUACUGUCCCCUCUGGAAUCUCUCAGUAGACAACUCCCAAGGAGCGUAGGCGUAAUAUAAUUGAUAUUCGUUUAAUGCCUUGCGGGUUGCCAGGCUGCGUAGAGCUCCCCCCAGCAAGUACUUGGUACUUCAAA
rnacentral:misc_RNA from 1 species